CUGGGAGGCAGAGGUUUCUGAGCUAAAAUCGCACCACUGCACUCCUGCCUGAGCGACGGAGCAAGACUCCAAGUCAAAAAAAAACAAAAAACAAAUUUAUGCAGCUGUUUUUUUAAUAAUUAAAUGUUAAUUAUUAUUAUUUUUUGAGACAGGGUCUUGCUUUGUCGCCCAGGCAGUGGCAUGAUCAUGGCUUACUGCAACCUCUGUUUCUAGGCUCAAGCAAUCCUCCCACCUCAGCUUCCCAAGUAGUAGGGAUUACAGGCACAUGCCACCACAAUCGGCUAGUUUUUGUAUUUUUGGUAGAGACAGGGUUUCCCCAUGAUGCCCAGGCUGGCCUCGAACUCCCUGGUUCAAGUGAUCCACCCGCCUUAGCCUCCCAGAAUGCCGAUAUUACAGGUGUGAGCCACCGCGCCCAUCUCAUGCAGCUUUUAAAAUCUCUGCGUGUGUUAUAACAGUUUCAGCUAGAUGAGAAAAAAAAAACAUUUUCUGUCACAAUAAAUGGCACUCCAGCUAAGUUAGGUUAAAAAAAAUUAGAUUUCAUUAGAAUUUUAAAACAAACUUGAUGUUUCUGUUAUUUCUUCAUUCCACUAAAUGAUAUGGUUUGAAAAUAUUUAUGCUCAGAUUUUUAAAUGGUCUCUACAACAAAUUGUCACUUGUUGGGUUCAAUUAAGUGCUCAUUGUAUAAGUGCACAUGGUACAAAUCAACACCAGCUUAUAGGAUUGUGGAAAGAAUUAAGAGAUGAAUUUAGUGAUCUUAUAUACCCUGUCAGUUGGUCAUAUUGUGGAAGAGCUCUACAAAACUUACUGUACUGUUAACUCCAAGAUUUUCUUCCAAUAACAGGGAUGCUAGCCAGAUAUUUAAUAAUCAAAGACCAAAAAUGGCAGUUUAAUUUUUCUACCCAAUAUCCUAUGGCAUAUGAAUGAUCCAAAUUUGAAGCUCCAAGGAUAGGAAAAAGCUUACUUGUGCCUGUCCUAGACAAGUACUAGAGUUUAUAUUGAAAUCAAAACUUCUAAAAAUAAAAAUCAGUAAGAUUAAUUUUACUCAUUUUUCU
rnacentral:lncRNA from 1 species